AUGAAGCAUCUGUUGGUCUGGCUGCUCCUCUCCUCCCUCUGUUCUCCCUCUUCUUGGGGGAUAAGAGGCAUGUUGGUGGUGAUCCAGUCUCCUCAUAAUGUAACAGUAACAGAGGGGGACACUGUUCAGAUCCAGUGCUGCUGGAAUCAACAUGUGUCAAGAGUGACGGUUAAUUGGCAUAAAAAAGAAGGACUCACCGAGAUAAAAUAUAAGAGUGUUCUGGUCAACAACAGUCAGUGUCGUGACAGGGCAUCUCAGCAGACUGUAGCCUGUAACUGCUCAAAUUGGACCAUCUCAAACCUCACUAGAAAUUACUCGGGUACUUACAUCUGUAAAGUUUCUUUAGAGAUCCCAUCUCUUAUUGAAUCCGUGGGGAAUGGGACACGGAUAACAGUUACAUCCCAAAACACGACAAACAAUGAUUCCUCAGAAGAAAAACUGCUCCACCAGCUGCCUAUCAUGAUUCCACUUGCUGUCCUGCUACUGUUCCUCCUCCCUCUCAUCUGCCUGUACAGGGCAUGGAAAAGACACCAAGGUGGUGCCCCAGACAGAACAGUCAGGGUGAUCCACGAGGCUCCCAACCAUGAGGACGAGGAGUUGAAGAUGGAGGAGCUGGAAGAGGCGGCCAACCAGAGCUCUUCCUCCUCCUCCAGAGGAUCCACCCAAUGGGUGAGUCUCAUAAUCAGUACACAUCAUACCACCUACCGCCACGAUACACCUUCCCACACCCUACUGACAGGCUAAUCACAUCAUACCACCUACAGCCACGAUACACCGUCCCAUACCCUACUGACAGGCUAAUCACAUCAUACCACCUACCGCCACGAUACACCGUCCCACACCCCACUGACAGUCUGUCCCAUCAUAACCCCAACCGCCACGAUACCCGUUCCCACACCCCCCUGACAGGCUAAUCACAUCAUACCA
rnacentral:lncRNA from 1 species